rnacentral:rRNA from 1 species
AUUGAACGCUGGCGGCAGGCCUAACACAUGCAAGUCGAACGGUAACAGGAAGAAGCUUGCUUCUUUGCUGACGAGUGGCGGCCGGGUGAGUAAUGUCUGGGAAACUUCCUGAUGGAGGGGGAUAACUACUGGAAACGGUAGCUAAUACCGCAUAACGUCGCAAGACCAAAGAGGGGGACCUUCGGGCCUCUUGCCAUCGGCUGUGCCCAGAUGGGAUUAGCUAGUAGGUGGGGUAACGGCUCACCUAGGCGACGAUCCCUAGCUGGUCUGAGAGGAUGACCAGCCACACUGGAACUGAGACACGGUCCAGACUCCUACGGGAGGCAGCAGUGGGGAAUAUUGCACAAUGGGCGCAAGCCUGAUGCAGCCAUGCCGCGUGUAUGAAGAAGGCCUUCGGGUUGUAAAGUACUUUCAGCGGGGAGGAAGGGAGUAAAGUUAAUACCUUUGCUCAUUGACGUUACCCGCAGAAGAAGCACCGGCUAACUCCGUG